CGCUGGCGGCGUGCUUAACACAUGCAAGUCGAACGAGAAUCUGCGGAAAGAGGAUUCGUCCAAUUGAAGCAGAGGACAGUGGCGGACGGGUGAGUAACGCGUGAGGAACCUGCCUUUCAGAGGGGGACAACAGUUGGAAACGACUGCUAAUACCGCAUGACACAUCGGAGUCGCAUGGCUCUGAUGUCAAAGAUUUAUCGCUGAAAGAUGGCCUCGCGUCUGAUUAGCUAGUUGGUGAGGUAAUGGCCCACCAAGGCGACGAUCGGUAGCCGGACUGAGAGGUUGAACGGCCACAUUGGGACUGAGACACGGCCCAGACUCCUACGGGAGGCAGCAGUGGGGAAUAUUGCACAAUGGGGGAAACCCUGAUGCAGCGACGCCGCGUGGAGGAAGAAGGUCUUCGGAUUGUAAACUCCUGUUGUUGGGGAAGAUAAUGACGGUACCCAACAAGGAAGUGACGGCUAACUACGUG
rnacentral:rRNA from 1 species